rnacentral:rRNA from 1 species
UUUAGAAAAAAAAAUAAUAUAUAGUUAGAAAUUAUAAGUUUUGUUAAUUAUUAUAUUAAAGAAAAAAUAAAAUUAUAUUUAGUACUGAAAAGGAGAAUUGAAAAAUUUUAAAAUUUUAAAAUUUUAAAAGUAAUUUUUAUGUACCUUUGGCAUAAGGGUUUUUUAAAAAAAAUUAAAAAUUUAUAUUUCCCGAAAUUAUUUUGAUCUAUUUUGUAUAAAGUUUUAAUUUGUUAUAAAUAAUUAAUUAAUAUAAAAAUAGAAAUGAAAUUUUUUUCAAAAAUAAUGAUAUCUGGUUAUUAAAAUAAGAUUUUAUAUCUAUCUAUAAAAUAUAAAAUUUGUUAAAUAAUUAUUAUAGAAAAGUUAAGUAGGGAUAAGCUUACUUAAUUUAUUAUAAUUAAUUUUUUUUUAUUAAAAAAGGAAUGAUAUUUUCUUGUUUUUGUAAUAAAAAAUUUCUUUAAAAAAAAGAAAAUUUAAUUUAAUUUAGUAAUUAAUUUAAUUAUAAAUUUAUAAAAAAAUGAAAAAAUUAGUAUAAGAUUAUAAAAUUAUUUUUUUUUUUAUUAAUUAAAAGUAAAAUGUUUUUUAUUUAAUUAUUAAAAAGGAAUUCGGCAAAAUUUAUUAAGUUGGCUGUUUAUCAAAAACAUUUCAUUUUGUAUUUAUAAAAUGUAUUAUCUGCUCAAUGAAUUUUAAAUUGCUGUGGUAUUUUGACUAUACGAAGGUAUUGAAAUAAGGCUUUAAAUGAGUGCUAAGAGAAUGAUAGAACAAUUUAAAUCUGUCUUUUUAAUAAAAAUAGAAGUUAACUUUUUAUGUGCGGAGGCAAAAAUAGAUUUAAGGGACAAGAAGACCCUAUGAAUUUUAUUAUUUUUAUUUUUAAAAAUAAUAAUAAAAAUAAUUAGUUGGGGCGACUAAAAAAGAAUAAGAAUCUUUUUGUUAUAGUUUUAAGUUUGAUCCAAUAAUAUUGAUUAAAUGAAUAAAAUACUCUAGGGAUAACAGCGUUAUAAUUUUAGAUAGCUCAUAUUGAAAAAAUUGAUUGCGACCUCGAUGUUGGAUUAGGAUACUUAUUUAAUGAAGAAGUUAAAUAAAGGAGUUUGUUCAACUUUUAAAUUCCUACAUGAUCUGAGUUCAGACCGGCGUAAGCCAGGUUGGUUUCUAUCUUUAUUUUAAAAUAUUUUUAAUUAGUACGAAAGGAAUAUUAAAAAAUAAUAAUUUAUUAUUA